UUGCCAGCCCGCUCAGAAACUCAAUGAAGUGGACGGGGGCCCGCACAAGCGGUGGAGUAUGUGGUUUAAUUCGAUGCAACGCGAAGAACCUUACCUGGUCUUGACAUCCCGGAGACCCUUAGGAAACUAGGGGGUGCUUCCAUCUGGAAGAAUCUGGAGACAGGUGCUGCAUGGCUGUCGUCAGCUCGUGUCGUGAGAUGUUGGGUUAAGUCCCGCAACGAGCGCAACCCUUGCCUUUAGUUGCCAGCAGUUCGGCUGGGCACUCUAAAGGGACUGCCGGUGUUAAACCGGAGGAAGGUGGGGAUGACGUCAAGUCCUCAUGGCCUUUAUGACCAGGGCUACACACGUACUACAAUGGCCGAUACAAAGGGCAGCGACACUGCGAGGUGAAGCCAAUCCCGUAAAAUCGGUCUCAGUCCGGAUUGGAGUCUGCAACUCGACUCCAUGAAGUUGGAAUCGCUAGUAAUCGUGGAUCAGCAUGCCACGGUGAAUACGUUCCCGGGCCUU
rnacentral:rRNA from 1 species